GUCUACAGCCAUGCUACCUUGAACAAGCCCGAUCCCAUCUGAUCUUGGAAGCUAAGCAGGGUCGGGCCUAGUUAGUACUUGGAUUUGUCCACAAACUGGGGAAAGUGUUGCAGCCC
rnacentral:rRNA from 1 species